UGAAGGGAUGAUGUCUCUUGAGCCUACGAGCCCUAGCACAUCCUAUAUAUCCUCAGGUCUGUGCUGUGUGAAUGGAUUUUUGACUGACAUCAUUUGGAGAAUCUCUUAUUUACUUUGCCCCAUCAAGAGUGCUUGACUGACAGGCAUGUGGAGCCAGACCUUGCCUGUACUUAUCUUUUUACGGAAUCCUGGGAUUGUGUGGAAGACACUGUCACCUUGACAUCCCUGUGGAUAAGCCAGUUCUGGGUGCCAUAGAAGAGGGUGUGAUACAACUCUGUGCCUUAUUAUAAUUGUCUGUGGUUCAGAACCCAGGUAUCUGAACCAAGAAUGUUCAGAAGAACAUCCAUGCAUGACUGGGUAGAUUUUCUUGCCUAUAAGGCCAAGUGACCUCUUAGAGUCUGGGAAACAGCAGGCAAGGGCCACAGGCUGAGGGAAGUAUGGCUUCCUCUAAGUGGGUCAGACUGGAGAACAGGGUAGGAAUUUGCCAGGGUUCUCAGUAGAAUGUUUGGGUAUAAGAGGCAUCAAGGUGUGUGCACAUACAUGCUGCCCCAGUACUCUGAUGGCUCAGCUUCUGAUAAGGGGCAGAGCAGGACCACAUGGUCUUUGCCCUAGAAACCAAACUGUACCUUUGCCCAAGGCGAGAUAAAUUGGGAAGGGAACCUCUGUCUCUCAUUUCAGCUGUGGGGUAUGAGGCUAGAAAGUUCUAGAUGUUCAGAGCCAGGAAACUUUCUAGAGUGUUUUUGGGGCAUCUAGGUAAAUCUCUGACCAGGGGAUUGAAUAAUCAGAGCACAAGGAUACUGGGAUGGUAUUAACAGUUUCGUUGUUAUACAAGGGUCCUCAGCAUCAGCAACCACAGUCUAGCCAUAGGCACACACAGAGGGAAAUGUCCCAUCUGCCCCUCUGUUCCUGAUCAUCUGCUUGGUCCUUCUGAACUCCAGGCCCAGUACUCAUCACAAUCUCUCACACUGUUCUUGCUGGAUCCUCAGUGUUGAGUGUCCUCAGGCAUCAAUGACCCUGUGUGUGCUACAGGGGACAUCCUGUGGGUUUUAGUGGAGGUGUUUUUCCCUCACUGCUGUCUGUCAUCCCUGUAAGUUCCUCCCUCCCUGAUCCAUUACCACCGGUGCUCUCUCAAUCUCUGAGUCUGCAGUAGUUGGCAGCUCUGACCUCUUUCCCAUCUGCCUCUUUCAGAGUCUCACACUGAACACACCCACAGGAGGAGAUGUUAAGUGCAUAGGCCAGAGCCGUCAAGAAGCCAGCACAGUGAUCCAGGGCCAUGAUCAAUUCCUGGGCAUGAGUGCGGGCUGCUAUGGGAUGCACGGUUUCCAAACAGGAAGUGGUUAUGGGCCUGCCAGAUCCAGCAUGGGUAAAAGUAUGGAAGCAGGAAACUGAAGAUUCUUUUUCUGCAGUGGAGAUUUUGGUGUGUGCUGAGGAUCCCACGGAUGGAGAAAACACAAAUGGAGAAGGAGGUGGACAGGUGAAAAGUACACCCUGGGGAUUAGGCCUGCAAAUGCCCCUCUGAGGGCUGCUCUAUCUCCCGUGGGAGUCUGUAUACUGUCUUUUGCUUUUCAUUCAUUUCCUUUUUCAUUGUCAAUUGAUUGUUGGAAUUUUAAAUUCAUUUUGAACUUCUUGAAUGCCACAGUCACCACUCAAAAGUGUGUUGUUUAAUAUUCACGAGAGUGUGUGUUCCAUAGUUUCUCUUGGUGUGGGUUGAGAGAUUUAUUGCUUUGUAAUAAAAAAGGAGAAAUUAUUUCAAUUUU